UACGAAGGGGGCUAGCGUUGUUCGGACUUACUGGGCGUAAAGGGCGCGUAGGCGGUCCUUCAAGUCAGGCGUGAAAGCCCCGGGCUCAACCUGGGAACCGCGCUUGAGACUGGAGAACUAGAGUUCGGGAGAGGAUGGUGGAAUUCCCAGUGUAGAGGUGAAAUUCGUAGAUAUUGGGAAGAACACCGAUGGCGAAGGCAGCCAUCUGGACCGACACUGACGCUGAGGCGCGAAAGCGUGGGGAGCAAACAGG
rnacentral:rRNA from 1 species